AAUCUUCCGCAAUGGACGCAAGUCUGACGGAGCAACGCCGCGUGAGUGAUGAAGGUUUUCGGAUCGUAAAACUCUUUUGCUAGGGAAAGACAAGUAUCGGAGUAGCUGCCGGUACCGUGACGGUACCUGUGGAGAAAGCCACGGCUAACUACUUGCGAGCAGCCGCGGUAAUACGUAGGUGGCAAGCGUUGUCCGGAUUUUUUGGGCGUAAAGCGCGCGCAGGCGGUCUUUUAAGUCUGAUGUUAAAUCUUAAAGCUUAACUGUAAGCGGUCAUUGGAAACUGGGAGACUUGAGUGCAGAAGAGGAGAGUGGAAUUCCAUGUGUAGCGGUGAAAUGCGUAGAGAUAUGGAGGAACACCAGUGGCGAAGGCGACUCUCUGGUCUGCAACUGACGCUGAGGCGCGAAAGCGUGGGGAUCAAACA
rnacentral:rRNA from 1 species